AUUGAACGCUGGCGGCAUGCCUUACACAUGCAAGUCGAACGGCAGCACGGGUGCUUGCACCUGGUGGCGAGUGGCGAACGGGUGAGUGAUACAUCGGAACGUACCUUAUCGUGGGGGAUAACGCAGCGAAAGCUGUGCUAAGACCGCAUACGCCCUGAGGGGGAAAGCGGGGGAUCGCAAGAGCUCGGGCGAUUAGAGCGGCCGAUGCCUGAUUAGCUAGUUGGUGGGGUAAAAGCCCACCAAGGCGACGAUCAGUAGCUGGUCUGAGAGGACGAUCAGCCACACUGGGGCUGAGACACGGCCCAGACUCCUACGGGAGGCAGCAGUGGGGAAUUUUGGACAAUGGGGGCAACCCUGAUCCAGCAAUGCCGCGUGAGUGAAGAAGGCCUUCGGGUUGUAAAGCUCUUUUGUCAGGGAAGAAACACCGGCUCUAACACAGUCCGGGAAUGACGGUACCUGAAGAAUAAGCACCGGCUAACUACGUGCCAGCCGCCGCCGUAA
rnacentral:rRNA from 1 species